AGCGACUGUGCAGGUUACCGCGGCUGCUGGCACGGAGUUAGCCGGUGCUUCUUCUGUGAGUGAUGUCCUUCCUGCCGGUUAUUGACCCGCAGGCCUUCUUCCUCACUGAAAGUGCUUUACAACCCGAAGGCCUUCUUCACACACGCGGCAUGGCUGGAUCAGGGUUGCCCCCAUUGUCCAAUAUUCCCCACUGCUGCCUCCCGUAGGAGUCUGGGCCGUGUCUCAGUCCCAGUGUGGCUGAUCAUCCUCUCAGACCAGCUACGGAUCGUCGCCUUGGUGAGCCGUUACCUCACCAACCAACUAAUCCGACAUAGGCUCAUCCGAUAGCGCGAGGCCCGAAGGUCCCCCGCUUUCCCCCGUAGGGCGUAUGCGGUAUUAGCCUGGGUUUCCCCAGGUUAUCCCCACUACCGGGCAGAUUCCUAUGCAUUACUCACCCGUCCGCCGCUCGCCACCAGGGAGCAAGCUCCCCGUGCUGCCGCUCGACUUGCAUGUGUUAGGCCUGCCGCCAGCGUUCAAU
rnacentral:rRNA from 1 species